rnacentral:rRNA from 1 species
UACGUAGGGUGCAAGCGUUGUCCGGAAUUAUUGGGCGUAAAGAGCUCGUAGGCGGUUUGUCGCGUCUGCUGUGAAAACUCGGGGCUUAACUCCGGGCCUGCAGUGGGUACGGGCAGACUAGAGUGCGGUAGGGGGAGACUGGAAUUCCUGGUGUAGCGGUGAAAUGCGCAGAUAUCAGGAGGAACACCGGUGGCGAAGGCGGGGUCUCUGGGCCGCUACUGACGCUGAGAAGCGAAAGCGUGGGGAGCGAACAGG